CUUAAAGGAAUUGACGGGGCCGCACAAGCGGCGGAGCAUGCGGAUUAAUUCGAUGCAACGCGAAGAACCUUACCAAGGCUUGACAUACACCGGUAACGCCCAGAGAUGGGUGCCCCUUUGUGGUCGGUGUACAGGUGGUGCAUGGUUGUCGUCAGCUCGUGUCGUGAGAUGUUGGGUUAAGUCCCGCAACGAGCGCAACCCUCGUCCUAUGUUGCCAGCGGGUCAUGCCGGGGACUCAUGGGAGACUGCCGGGGUCAACUCGGAGGAAGGUGGGGAUGACGUCAAAUCAUCAUGCCCCUUAUGUCUUGGGCUUCACGCAUGCUACAAUGGCCGGUACAAAGGGCUGCGAUACCGCGAGGUGGAGCGAAUCCCAGAAAGCCGGUCUCAGUUCGGAUUGGGGUCUGCAACUCGACCCCAUGAAGUCGGAGUCGCUAGUAAUCGCAGAUCAGCAACGCUGCGGUGAAUACGUUCCCGGGCCUU
rnacentral:rRNA from 1 species